rnacentral:rRNA from 1 species
GUCCAGACUCCUACGGGAGGCAGCAGUGGGGAAUAUUGCACAAUGGGGGAAACCCUGAUGCAGCGACGCCGCGUGAGCGAUGAAGUAUUUCGGUAUGUAAAGCUCUAUCAGCAGGGAAGAAGAUGACGGUACCUGACUAAGAAGCCCCGGCUAACUACGUGCCAGCAGCCGCGGUAAUACGUAGGGGGCAAGCGUUAUCCGGAUUUACUGGGUGUAAAGGGAGCGUAGACGGCGAUGCAAGCCAGAUGUGAAAGCCCGGGGCGCAACCCCGGGACUGCAUUUGGAACUGUGUGGCUGGAGUGUCGGAGAGGCAGGCGGAAUUCCUAGUGUAGCGGUGAAAUGCGUAGAUAUUAGGAGGAACACCAGUGGCGAAGGCGGCCUGCUGGACGAUGACUGACGUUGAGGCUCGAAAGCGUGGGGAGCAAACAGGAUUAGAUACCCCCGUACAA